rnacentral:rRNA from 1 species
UAGGGAAUCUUCCGCAAUGGACGCAAGUCUGACGGAGCAACGCCGCGUGAGUGAAGAAGGAUUUCGGUUCGUAAAACUCUGUUGUUAGAGAAGAACAGCGCAUAGAGUAACUGUUAUGCGUGUGACGGUAUCUAACCAGAAAGCCACGGCUAACUACGUGCCAGCAGCCGCGGUAAUACGUAGGUGGCAAGCGUUGUCCGGAUUUAUUGGGCGUAAAGCGAGCGCAGGCGGUCAAUUAAGUCUGAUGUGAAAGCCCCCGGCUCAACCGGGGAGGGUCAUUGGAAACUGGUUGACUUGAGUGCAGAAGAGGAGAGUGGAAUUCCAUGUGUAACGGUGAAAUGCGUAGAUAUAUGGAGGAACACCAGUGGCGAAAGCGGCUCUCUGGUCUGUAACUGACGCUGAGGCUCGAAAGCGUGGGGAGCGAACAGG